GUUUUUUACCCGUCUUCCUUCUUGUCUUUCUUGUGGUCUUCUGUCCUCUCUCUUUCUGCCCCAUCACCUGUAACCUAUCCCUUUCUCCUCUGUUACCUUAUCCGCACUAACUAGGUCCUUUCUGCAGUUUUGUUUCUUUCCUCCUCUGAACACAAAGCGCUUUUUAUCUCUGUCCUCCAUGCCAGUUAAUGCCACCCAGCACCCGUCUACAAUGAAUCUCUUUGUCUGCUGUUGC